GACAGUACCUCCAAAAGAAGCCCCGGCUAACUCUGUGCCAGCAGCCGCGGUAAUACAGGGGGGGCAAGCGUUGUCCGGAAUUACUGGGCGUACAGCGCGCGCAGGCGGUCCACUACGUGCCGUGUGACAGCCGUCGGCUUAACCGACGGAGGCCAGGGUACACGGGUGAACUUGAGGCAGAGAGAGGGAUGUGGAAUACCCGGUGGAGCGGUGAAAUGCGUAGAGAUCGGGUGGAACACCAGGGGCGAAGGCGGCAUCCUGGCUCUGUACUGACGCUGAGGCGCGAGAGCGUGGGGAGCAAACCGGAUUAGAUACCCGGGUAGUCCACGCCGUAAACGAUGUGUACCCGGCGCUGGGAAGUGAUUGCGCUUCUCGGUGCCCCAGCUUACGCGAUGAGUACACCGCCUGGGGACUACGGCCGCAAGGCUAAAACUCAAAGGAAUUGACGGGGGCCUGCACAAGCAGCGGAGCGUGUGGUUUAAUUCGACGCAACACGAAGAACCUUACCUAGAUUUGACAUGCACCUGCGAAUGACAGAAAUGUCAUUGCCUUCGAGGGUGGUGCACCGGUGCUGCAUGGCUGUCGUCAGCUCGUGUCGUGAGAUGUUGGGUUAAGUCCCGCAACGAGCGCAACCCUUGCCUGGUGUUACUUGUGUCACCAGGGACUGCCGUGGUCUAACCACGGAGGAAGGCGGGGAUGACGUCAAGUCCGCAUGGCCCGUACGUCUAGGGCUACACACACGCUACAAUGGUCGGAGUAGUGCGUUGCGACCUGGCAACAGGCAGCGAAUCGCCAAGACCGGCCUCAGUGCAGAUUGGGGGCUGCAACUCGCCCCCAUGAAGGCGGAGUUGCUAGUAACCGCGUGUCAGCAAAGCGCGGUGAAUACGUACCCGGGCCUUGUACACACCGCCCGUCACGUCAUGGGAGUCGGGAACACCUGAAGUCCGUGGGCCGACCUGUCAGUAAUGGUGGGAGGCAGCGGCCGAAGGUGGGCCUGGCGACUGGGACGAAGUCGUAACAAGGUAACCGUA
rnacentral:rRNA from 1 species